rnacentral:rRNA from 1 species
UUUCGCAAUGCCCGAAAGGGUGACGAAGCGACGCCGCGUGUGGGAAGAAGGCCUUCGGGUUGUAAACCACUGUCGGGAGUUAGGAAAUGCAGGUGCGUUAAUAGCGCACUUGCUUGACUAAGGCUCCAGAGGAAGCCACGGCUAACUCUGUGCCAGCAGCCGCGGUAAUACAGAGGCGGCAAGCGUUGUUCGGAAUUAUUGGGCGUAAAGAGCACGUAGGCGGCCUUGCAAGUCAGUUGUGAAAGCCUUCCGCUUAACGGAAGAACGGCAUCUGAUACUACAGGGCUUGAGUACGGGAGGGGAGAGUGGAACUUCUGGUGGAGCGGUGAGAUGCGUAGAUAUCAGAAGGAACGCCGGCGGCGAAAGCGACUCUCUGGUCCGAAACUGACGCUGAGUGUGCGAAAGCUAGGGGAGCAAACGGGAUUAGAUACCCCGGUAGUCCUAGCCGUAAACGAUGGGCACUAAGUAGAGGGGUUUU